rnacentral:lncRNA from 1 species
UUUAAAAGUGUGAUGCAUUUAAAUGAGUCUUAUAAAUUCAGAUGGUUGAGAAAAAGGAGCAGGAAUAUUCAAAAUGGUCACAUUAGGUUGAACCAAAAGAAAGGUUUAUCUUCUCUUCUCAUUUGGACCUGCAAAAACAGCAUUUUCCUACGGCUCAACCUACACUUUCCCUAGCUGUUCCCACCUCUGCAAAUUUGAUUAGUGUGUCUUCUGUGAGUUCAUCCUGAUCUCCAAGAAGUAUAUUUUACUAGGCAAAGAGUAAUCCAGGAGUGCGCCAAAGUCUAUCUUCCAAGUUCAUCAAUUUAGCAAAAAUAUAUUGAACACCUAGGUAUCAGGCAUUUUGCAAGGCACUAGGGAAGCAGUAGUGAAAAGGUUAGUUUCACUGCUCUUAUGGUGCUUAGAGUAUAGUGGGUGGGGAAGCCAACAUUAAUUACAUAGUAACACAAAUAAACAUACAUUUACCAGAGCCAUUAUGGAAUCCUAACCUCUUUCAUGGUACACCUUUAAUGUAGUUUCUCUAAUGGAUUUCAUUUUGGGAACUAUAUCUCCAUGACUUUAACAGAUGUUAGCCAUAAACAAACCCACAAGAAAUUAAAUACGUUAACUUAAUGAAUAACAUCUUAAAAGUAUUAUUCAUCUGGUUGCCAGAGAGUGCCUGCCAAAAAUGACAAUUUGGGUUUGGCGUAAUUAAUGUUUAGUUGUACUUCCAGGAAAUAAUUUGUCUUGAGUAUUUCUUGUGGCUCUUCCACUAAUAUAUUUUUGUACUAGAAAACCCUAGAAUGUCACACAAAUUGCCUAUGGAAUUUGAAUUUAAGGUAAAAUAGUUUUGGGGAAUAAAUGAUAAGAGGAAGGUAGCCUCAGAGUUGGGAAUCGUAGGCCUGGGCUUGACCUUAAUAAUUAUCUGAUGUAGUUUUAUUCUUGGAGCUGAGUCUCCUUUGAAUUCCAAAAGAAUUGCUUUUUCUCCUGAGAAAUUUUUGAAAUCUCCUGAAGGUAGGAUCGAAUCGGAAUAAGGUGAUUUUAAAAUAUGCUUUUGCUCUUUAAUGGAAUUCAAUGUAGGAAAUUGAUAAUGAAUGGUACUCUUAAAAACUGGUAAGUACAAAGCACCACAAGCUGCUUUUAACAAGCAAGUGUUAAGCAGUUACUAUGUUCUGAGCCCUGUGUUGCAAGAGUAAUCACAACCCCAAAAAGAGAUUUAAUUUUUGGCUUUGUUCUUGUAAGGCAAAACAGGCCUUUGGCCAUAUCUACUUCUGGAUUUUUUUCCCAGCAAAGUUGAAUACUAAUUCAUCAAAACUGAGAUGGAGUAAAACCCUCUGUUAAUCAACAGCACUUGUCUACAGGGUGCCCCGUGAUGGAUAGAAACAAAUGGAAACUUUAUUGAUCUUUUCUGUUAUAAUGAGUUGCAUUUCCUCUUGCAUUUUCACAGCACUUUUCUUGACCUAUAUUUUGUACUUACUUCAUUCACACUGUAGAACAUUAUUUCCUUGUCUCUUUUCACAAAUAGAAUUUGAGCAUCUGGAAGCAAGGAGUUAUUCAUCCUUAUGUUCUUCAAAGCACCUCAACCAGUGCCUGGUACACAGUAAUUAUUCGAGUGCAGCAGGGCAUCAGGCGCCUAGAAGAUGCUCAGUCAUCAGGGAACGUGAAGAGACAACUUUAAGCAGAGGCCUGUGCUAAGUGCUGGGGGCACACAGAUGACUAAAACAGAACACAUUUCCUGACUUCCAAACCCCCAGGUUGGUCAACGUGUGGAUGUAUGAGUGCUACUCUCUGAAAUGGGUAGAGGAGUUACAUUUCAAAAGGAUAGCUGCGCAGAGACUAAAGUCCUCAAAGUUAAAACAUUAGCCAAGAUGACAGGAAGCAGAACACAUAGAAGACAAACAAGAUUCAUAAUAUAAUGGAAAUCCUAAGGGGGAAUGCAGUUAACAAAAGAAGAGUCUGGUAAAGAUAUGCUCUUACAAGAACAAAGAUGGAA